UGCCCUCCCCCUGUUCUCCACGUCACCUCUCCGCCCAACUCAAAUCCUCCAUGCCAUCCCCGCAACACACCGCUUCGCUGUGGAUGUUUGAGAAAGCACAUCUUAAAUUAACAGCAUCCCAGAAAUUAUUAGUAGCAGAGUGUAAAAUUCACUGUCGUUCCCCUCUAUCAAUGUCACACCCUGAAAAUUGUUAAAUUAUAAAUUGUUGUGAAAAAGGAAUUUUUAGAAUUUAUUUAAUAAUUAAAGCAAGUGUGUGAAUAAAAUCUAUGAAAAAAUUGAACAUAAACUUGAUCUAGAUAAAAUUUUAUUGAAUACUUUGUAUGCCCAAGUAUUCUCUGGAUUUUUUUCAGAAUUAUUUGAGUAUUGGAAUUAUUUUUAAUAAAUGAAAGAUCAUUUCAGCAAUUAUUUAAAUUAAAAAGUUAAUUAAAUUCUCUUCCUCAGUCUGGGCUGAAUCCUGCCCACUCCUCUCUCUCCCUUCUCCCUUCCGCAGCCCGUGCCUCUCCCUUGGCCGAAGUCUGCAUUAGCUCCCUCCUCCUUCUUUCUCUCUGACCCCUGGGGCCCACUAGGCUACAGUGCCAUCUUCCUCCUCCAGCAUCUCUCCCGUCCCGUGACCGUGAAGCCGACGCCGCAUCCUCCGCUCGAUCCGGUGCAUCCCGUGCUCCGUUUCCAAAAUUGGUUGCAAAAACGGAUUCCCCUCAAUCUCCUCUAUCUUAUCCCUAAGAAACCCCUUUAAAUACCGUUGUAUAUUGCGUGAAUUCGACGCGGUUUCGAGCUCCGUUUUUCCGGCGAAUCCUAACUAAUCCGUCGCCGAUUCCAUCCGUUCCCGAGCCGACCUCUCCCUCUUCCGGCUAUAAAUAGCAGCCCCUCGACCUCCUCUUCCGUUUCCUCCUUUUUCCCGAAUUUUUCCCUAACCCCUUCUUCUCCACCAGUGUUCGCCGUAAAGCCGCCGUCACAGUCGUCCCGAUCUCGCCGCCGCUCGAAGCUCGUCGCCGGCUGCCGUUCGUCGCCCAUCAUCAUGCAACUGUGGGUAAGGACUGUCUUGUUCUCCUCUUCGCUUUAGUGCUCUCGCUUUCCACCGUUGUGUCAUCAUUUGUCGUCGCCGGCCAUCUCCCGUUGCCGUUUUUCGUCGCCGUCACCAUUGGUGAGUUCGUCGUCGCGUCUUCUCUCUCCCGGAGCUGUCCCCUUAUCGUCGGAGCGUCGCCGUUCAGUCCUCGUUGCUAUCCAGAGCCAUCCGCCGGUGAUGAUGUUAUCGCUGACAUCCACAUCAUCUCAAGCCAUUGCAAAAUCAAUAUAAAUUUUGUUAUCUCUUUUCAAUGACAUAUUAUUCCUUUUUAAUAUAUGUUACCUACGAUCUAAUCUAUUUUCGGAGGAUGUUUUAAUCUUUUGUCUCAGCUAUAAAUCAUCUGUAAAUUGUUUAAUCAAUUUGGAUUAGUCUUUUCUUUAAUAGGUUUAAUUGGAAUUAAAUCUUGUAAAAUUCAUAUCUAACUCAUACGAACUCGGAAUGAGGUCGUUCAAGUCCCAUAAUUCAUCUAAAUUCAAGCUCUACCUAUUUAUGAACUUUAAUUGUACUGUUCAUUUGGUUUUUAUUAGUGUUAUAGGUUUAGUUUUCCGUUGUUUCGGAGGAUCGUUCGUUCGUUGGAGAAGUUCCUGAAGACGAAUUGAAGACGCUUUUUCGCAAGGCAAGCAUGUUGAAUCCGUUUAAAGCUAAUGUUUUAUUUCAAGUUAUGCAUUAUUUUAGAAUGUCAUCGGGUGGUGAACCUUUCUCAUUUAAUUAUGGCCGAAGAUGGCUUUAUUUUCCUAUGGGUUAUAAUUUGACUAGCAUCGACCUUAUAUAUCGGAUUGGUUCAGCUAGAUGUUAUUUAUAGUUGCUUAGCCGUGCUUAGAAACAUUAGCUCAUUAAUGGGAUAAAUUAUGCUUCACUAUUACUUAUGGUUAUAUUUAAUGGUAGCUCACGAUGGUUAAUCGUGUUAUGAUAAUUAAUUGAUAAUUAAAAUAUGAUAUAUGGUGGGUUGUGAGCACAUGGUUUUGAAGGUCGUGCUCAUGACAAUUAAGGACCGGUUCGCGAGCUACUGUUGUAAAAUAUUAACCGUGCCAACAACAUGCCAGCGUGGGCAACAGCUUUACCUUUUGUAUAGCCUGGUUCAUUACGGGGUGCCAGACUGAGAAGCGGCGAGAGGUCCGUGGGGGUCGCUGGGGAAUCCAUGCCUCUGGUUUUUGAGGGGGUGAUUAUGAUCCAGGAAUGGUGCACUGUGGUGAGUUGUGUUGGGCAAAGGGUAUUGUCACGAUUUCCCCAUUUGCAGUGCCGUGGUGGUACUUCGGGGCAUGGCAACAUGUGUGGAAUCGUGUCUUGUGGGUACAGUGGUACAUCUCUGGCCAGAGUAAAACUAUUCGAAUAGCCGUGCCCGCGGUUAUGGGCGGGUCUAACAAUGUUUUUCGUGAUUAGUCCCACACUACUCAUUAAUGAUAACAAUGUGAUAAUUAAUUUGACUCCUGGUUUAGAAUGGAUAAUUCCUGGUUUGGAGGUUUGAUCUGUACGACCGGGGUUGGUUGUUCAGGUUUGGUUGGGCCUGAGCAGCAUGGGUGUGCUGUUCAGUGUUGAUUAAUAUUGAUGAUUAAUUACUCUACUGUUUUACAAAUUUUUAAAUCUUUGCUAAAUACUGCUUUCGCAAAUGAACCCUAUAUUAUGCCAUCCUUUGGUAUCCUUGUGCACUUGCAUACUUGCUGUGUGGCUUGCGGAGUAUUCCAUGUACUCACCUUGCAAUAAUCAUCAAACCUCAGUUGAAGAAAAAGGAUCCAGAAGGAGAAGACCUUUGGUUUAGAUCCCAGUUGAGCUGCCUGUGGGAGUGGAGCUGAAGCUUCGCUAGGUUUUAUUUUUCCGCUGCAGUUUUCUUCAUGGUAAGGACUAAGUGCCUCUUAUGUAAGUAUUUAUUUGCUUUAGUUAUUUUGAUGAAUCUGUAUAUUAAAUUGUCAGUUUGUGUACCUCGGUUAAGUCCUGGACGAGGGUCUUAAUGCACAAAUUAGUUCGGAAAUUACUUAUGAAUUUCUGGGCGUGACAAUCAACUAUCCUUCUCUCCCAUAGUACCCAACCUUAGAAUCGUUUCCAUGACCCUGAAGGCUGAAGCAAUAGAAUAAACACGGAGCUACUUUGCAUUAUCAUUUCGGUUUAACUUUGUAACAUGGUAAAUCAUAAAGGUUACCUAUGGGAUGACAAAUCCCACAUCAUUUCCCUGGUGGUCUGCAUUACGAUUCUGAAUUCUAAUACCUCAAAUUUCCUCUACAUAGAAAUGACAACAAUAUAUUAGUCGAGUUCUGCAUAAUCAGCCGCACUGGUUUAGGCCUCAGAUCAAGAUUGUUUUCAGUUGCAUGGAUUGAUCCGAACAGCAAGUACUGCACCAAGAGAGGGAACACUUACGCUAGUUGAGGUCAUCGAAUUUCUGUGAAAGGUCGUCGUACCUCUCACCUUGGCUUAAUGGUGUAGGAGGAUACGUGGGGCAACCAGUAUUGCAUGAAUAAUGUCUCGCGGCGCUAGGUAGGAAUGAGCUCGCACUCCAGAACGGCCUCGUGGACCUGCCGGACGGUGGCCUUGAGGAGAAGAUGGGCAACGGCUAGGAGCGGGGUCUCAGGGGGUGGAUGCACGUCGGUGAGUGCUGCGGCGCCGAUGGAAUGGAGGUGGCGUGAGCAGGUGCGUGGGAAAGCGCGAAGGCAGCGGAGAGGAGAUGGAGGAGAGGACGAUGGGCCACCGGGGAGAGCUGUGGCGCCACUCCUCCCUCCCCUUCCAAUCUCAGCCACCGUCACUCGAGCUCCCGCCACCUUGUGAGGCCAGAUCGAUGGUGAAGAGAGGGUUGUUGGCGGCGUUCCUAUCGAUUUGAGGUCGGCGGCGCUUGCAUCGGGAGGGACUUGAGAUGGCAGUGCGACAGUGAUAUGUGAUUGAUGAAACUUGAGGCAACUGCGAGGCGAAGGUGGCUAUGAGAGGGGAGGGAGACGGAGCGGUGGCCGGCGGCAAAGACUGAAGGCCUGCGAGGUGGCGGUGGCUAUGCAGAUCGGCGAGGGCGGAAGAGGCGAUGCGCAACGGAGGUGAAGGGGAAAGAGCGCAAAGAAGGUGGGGGAGGGGUCGAGGUGCGAGUGGCGGAGGGGGAGGCGAUCCGUAACCGAGGGGAUACGCGACGUAAUCUGGACCGUUUGAUCCUGUGAUCCAACAACCCUGUGGGUUGGGGUGGGGGAGCGGGCGGAGGAGGAGGAGAGCGAAGGGAUCGAUCUGGCCGUUGGAUCUGGUGAUUGUACGGAUAGAAUGGUGCGUGUCCGUCAGGGUUGGAGUCACUGUCACCACUACGGAAUUUUAAAGUAGUAGAGAUAUAGGUGAUAUCCAUCGGAAAUCAGAUAUCCGUCAGAUAUUAUCGGGUAUUUUCCAUCGGAUAUCCGACUUACACAUAAGGCCCAUAAUACAGCCCAACCCAAAGAAGAGGCAAAUCAAACUUCUUGGCAAAAAUGAAUUUCGAUUUGAAUUUUAUGAUACUAAAUGAACUCAUAUGAAAAAGUUGUCAAAAACAAAGUUGUAGAACUCAUUUCUCCAUCCGAGUUUGAUUGAACUAUAUAAAAUUUGAAUUUUAAAAUAUAAGAAAUUCAAAUAAUAUUUUUGGGUAGUAACUGAUUUCAAAUGGAAAAAUUGUCAAAAACAAAGUUGUAUUCUUAUCAAGAUCUAUAACUUUUAUUUUGAUCAUUUUUCUAUAUGACUUUGUUUGAACAGUUUGAAUUUAAAUUUAAAAGUAUGACAACUUCAAACAAUAUUUUCAAAUACUAAAUCAUUUCAACUGAAAAAGUCAUCAACUUCAAGUUGUAUAACUCAACAAGAUCUAUAACUUUUAUUUUGAUCAUUUCUUCAUCCGGUAAAGUGAUAGUAAUAUUGUUCAUAAAAUUUGCAUAUCUCUCAUUUGCAUAUCUCUCAUUUGGUUUUAUAAAAUAUAAGAGAGAGAUGUAAAUUUUAUGAACAAUGUUACUAUCACUUUGUCGGAUUAAGAAAUGAUCAAAAUAAAAGUUGUAUGUCUUGAUGAGUUGUACAACUUUUAUGUUCAUGACUUUUCAGCUGAAAUUAUUUACUGCUUCAAAAUAUUAUUUGAAGUUUUAAAAUUCAAAUUUUUAAUUGAUAAAACAAAGUCAUAAGAAAAAAUGGCCAAAAUAAUAGCAGUAAAAACAUAAUAACAUGAUAGAGCAUAAUUUAGAAACACAAUAGCAAAAAUCGUUUGUUAGUAGUGAGGGGUUUUUAUAUUCUGAUUAAUAUAAUAUUCGUCACCGUAUUCGUUUCGCUUCGUAUUCGCUCCGUAUUUGUAUUCGAUAAUAUUCGAUUCCGUUUUCAUAUCCAGAUUUCUGAUUCCGAUUUCGAUUUCGAAAAAAUUAUGAAAACGAAUAUGACAGAGCAGUUUCCGAUCGUAUUCGAUCCGCUUUUAUCCCUAUUUAUAUGUAGUGGGGUGGACUGCUCACUUGUACUUCCAUUGCCAUCUAUUAAUUACUCAACUUUUUGUUAUGUGUGGCAGGGAGAUGGAAAGCUGAACGUAUGGGCGAUAGUCAGAUAGGGAUCGGAAAGAUUCGACCAGGAUUUAGUUUGAUUGUGAAAAAAUCGGGUCCAUCUGCUCAAAAUCUGACGGUUAAUACAUAUAUAGUGAUGAUGUGGGGUGAGCUGUGGAACAAGCUAUGCCUAUGGGUACCAAAUAUUGAAAGAAAGGAUAUCGAGAGUUUUCUCACCGUUUCUUGUAUGCGACACGCGAGGGAUGCAAACAAAGCAACCGCAUCCUACUAUUUGCGACACGCGUGCGUGACACAGCUGCAUGCACGUCGCAGCACGUCCAAGUAACUAAGCGUGUUGGCUAUACCUAUACUCCCUCCGUCCCAAAAUAUAGCUAUUUUUAGCAAGUGUCUUGUUCCAAAAUGAACUAUUUCUUCACCUACCUCCUCCUCUCAACCAAUCACAACCAUUCUUCUUCACCUACUUUCUCUUUUCAACCAAUCACACACUUCCUCCAAUCAUUCUCACCUACUUUCUUAAUACCCGUGCCAACCUCAAAAAUGGCUUCAUUUUGGGACGGAGGAAGUACUAUAUAUAGUCCCUCCAUUUCAAAAUAUUUGACACCGUUGACUUUUUAGUACGUGUUUGACCAUUCGUCUUAUUCAAAAAAUUUAAGUAAUUAUUUAUUCUUUUCAUAUCAUUUGAUUCAUUGUUAAAUAUAUUUUCAUGUACACAUAUAGUUUUACAUAUUUCAUAAAUUUUUUUUAAUAAGAUGAAUAAUUAAAUAUAUGCUAAAAAAUCAACGGUGUCAAACAUUUUAAAACGAAGGGAGUACUAUAUAUAUCAUAUAUAUCUAGUGCGCAUCGAUCCCUAGUGGAGUGGUAGCACAUGCCCCAGAGAGGCGCACACACCAGUGCAGCAAUGAGAGGCUAACCGAUCAGAUCAUCAAGCUCAAGCAAGCUAAAAUCAAUGAUCGAUGACGUGCCUAAGCAACAGUCGCCAUGGAUGCUGCCUUUUUGUUCGACCGAUGCUGGUGCUGGUGAUGGUGCUGGAGCUGACGAUAUUGAUUCCGCCGGCUAGCUGUCUUGCAAGUCCGGUUCGGAACAUCUCGGCCAUCUUCAUCUUCGGCGACUCGACCGUCGAUCCAGGCAACAACAACAACCGCCUGACGCCGUCCAAGGCCAACUUCCCGCCGUACGGCCAGGACUUCCCCGGCGGCGUGGCCACAGGCAGGUUUUCCAACGGGAAGGCCAUGAGGGACAUGAUAGGUAUGUGAAAGUACUUAAUUCGGUGGCACAAACAAUCUGUGAGAUUAAUAUAUACCUCUGUGCGUGUUUUUGUUGUGUUUGUUUUUUCUGUUGUAGUAUUGUCACCUAUAUAUAAAUUAAGUCUUAAUGAAAAAGAUACGCAGCGGCUCAUCGCUCGAGCGUAUUAAUAAAUGAUUAAGCAUCCUAGCUGACUUUAGUUCUUCUCUAGGGCUUGUUCCCUUAUUCCCUUCCGAAAGGGAAUUGGAGAUAAUUUAGGGCGAAUAUUUCCCUCAUGCUCAUAUGGUGACUCGUUGAUCGAUCAAAUAUGGAAUUGUCCUAUGUUAGCAUAGAAAAUUAUGGUGAAAUUAGGGCGCUUUUUUUGCAUAUAGGUUGUGGGUGAUCAGCUGCACGCAAAACCAGAAAUACGAUUAACAUAUGAUUAGUUUAAUAUUAAUUAUUAAAAAUUUAGAAAAUAGAUUUUUUGAUUUUUUUUUCACGAUUAAUAACUUAUUUUUUAUGAAACACACCGUUUAGAAAAUAGAAAACGAGGAGUAUCUAAUUAAGUUCAGUUAGCUCUUAAGAACGUUACCCUAGUUGGAUACGCUAGUUAAUUCUCAUCCAAAAUCUCAAGCCCAUGAUAUCUAUAUGGAUUUAUAUAGCAUUUUCUUAGGGGAAAAAAACGUGAGAGAGAAUUCAUUAAAUCCUAUUAUCAUUAAAUGGACUCUGUAGUUUUUAUUUUAUUUUAAUUCAAGACAUCAAACCGAGUGUAACUGAACUUAUAACUUCUAAAUUUCACAAUUAUUGAAUUAAGUAAUUGAAAUGCACUACUAUAAAAAGACACAUAGAGACGACAUCAUAGAUACCGGAACAGCUAAAACCGACACUUAAAAUACUUUUCCCACCCACACAAAAAACCACAGGGGCACGCACCAGCCGCAAAAACCGGCACCUAUCUUCCUUGUCAGAGAAAUGUACGCUCACUUCCCAUUGUCAAUAAAUUCCAUGAAUAAACACACAAGUAUGUAUACACAAAAAAAUUUAAGAACAACGAUCAGAUGCCUACUCUAUUGGUGGAGAAAACACCUAGGUAGAUUGAGCAGGUCGGGCGGCCACCCAGUGCUACAGAGCACUUUUUUUCAAGCAAAUUUGCCACCGUUUUUUCAAUUUUGCAAGGAUGCCACUCGAAUGAUAAUUCCAGUGGUAUUUUUGCAUUUUUUAGUGGCAGUUUUACAAUAACGAUUCAAAGCAAUGGUAAAUUUGUAAUUGACCCUUUUUUCAAACGGCCGAAGUCAGUCUGCAGCCACUAGCCAGACGACUGCUCAAUCGCCUGGAGCAUGGUGUAUGUGGAAAUCUAUAUUUUGCCCUUACGGGUAUAACAACCCCAUGUGAAGAAGUAUUUUGCACGCGGGCACGUAAAGCCGCCAUCCUAUGAAAUGUUUUUGGCGAAAAAAAUUAAAAUUCAAAAACACAAAAUUUCCAAAAACCCUAGCUCGAUUUGAUCCCAUCACCACCGGUAGUCGGUGAAUCUGCCGUCUUUGCUGUAGUUCUCCAUCUUUGUAGCCACCGUCAUCGGAUCCUACGUUCCCAUCACCGGGGCCACCAGAUCCGUCCACGGGGGAGACAGAGAAGCAAUGGAGGGAAGAGGGCCCCGCCACAUCAGGUUAAGCCCCUCGCAUCGCCGCCGCCACCGGAUCCGUGCAAGAGAACUAGGAGAAGUCAUGUUGUGGAGAGGUUGCCACUACCUCUGGGUCCGCCCCUCCUGAUGGAAGAUGGCGGAGAAGCGAUGGACGGGAGAGGCUAUCACCGGACACGCCCUAGCUAGGGCUGUAGCCGUUGGAUCUGUCGUCUCUAGGCUAGCCACUGAUGGAUCCGCUGUGCCUCGCCCCUCAUGUCAUAGCCAUUGGAGAGGGAGUGUCAUGGCCGACCUCUGCCGUUGCCACUAACCACCACUCAAGCCACCAUUGCCGCCCACCUCUGCGCCGGCCGCCAUCUCCGCCACCUUCCAUCGCUGACCACCGCAUCGGAGAGAACGGGAGGGAGUGAGUGAGAACUAGAGGCUAAGAGGAAAGGAGCAUCGCAGCAAAGCUCCGACCCAGCCGCCGUCACCUCAGAGUUAUGUAGCUAACCACUACACCAGACAGAACGAGAGGGAGUGAGUGAGAACGAGAGAUAAGAUAAGAUAGCAUGAGAUAGUGAGGAGAAGCUCUUAAGAAAGGCCAAUAUGAAGGAAGGUGGCGGAGAUGGUGGCAUGUCUAGAAAAAUCAAUUUUUAUAGCUGGACUUUUAUGGAACACACCGGCUAAAACUUUUUUUGUAUGGGUCAUAUUUUACGAUUUUCGCAUACGGGCGUUUACCGACACCGCUAAACUUUUUAAAUAUGGGUCUUAUUUUAGGCUGUUUGUAAAAAUAAAGGAGUGAUGUAUGUACAAACCAUAAUUAUGCAUACGUGCUGUGAUAACUCAAACUCCUCCAUCCACACAAUAACAUAAUUUGACCCAUCAUGCCUUGUCCUUGCCAUCUGCCACCAUGCUCUAUAUAAAAUUACUGUACCAAUUUUGUUUCUGGUAUCUCCAUUUACUUGGGCAUAAUGGUAAGGUUUACAUGAUGUUUUAAUUUUUCUUAAAGUCAAAUUUCUCUAGGUUUGACUAAGUUUAUAAAAAAAAUAUUAUCAAAAUAUAUCCAAUGUUAGAUUCAAUGGUAUUAAAUUGGUGUUAUAGAUAUUACUGUUUUUUCUAUAAACUUAUUAGUCAAUUUGACUUAAAAAAAAGUCAAAAAUGACUUAUAGUAUGAGACAGAGGGAAUAGUUGAGACCAAUCUUUGUUAUGUUUUUAUCAAACAUGUAUACUGUACUUGCAAACACUAAUCUAAUGUAAGAAGAUUUGGAACUCUCAGAGAGAGUAGUUUGCAACCCGAACAAGAAUUUGUAUUUGUGUAUCAAGAAUUCUAUUAGGAUUUCAAAAACAGUUCACUUUGGGAUAUGUAAAUUUGUGUAUCUUGUCCAUUUUACCAUGAAAAAUCAAGUUUUGAUGAGUUUUUUUUAUCUGAACUUAUUUACUGAUAUUAUUAAUUGAUUGAAUAACAUGGUAACUCCGUAUGAAUAUCUGGUUUAUUAUAAUUAAGAUUAUUUCGAACAGCUUCAAAAUUGGGUGUUAAGGAGCUAAUUCCUCCUUAUCUCGGCGAUGGUCUUCAACUUGAUGAUCUACUCAGUGGGGUAGCAUUUGCUUCUGGGGGCAGUGGAUAUGACCCUCUCACUUCUAAAAUAACGGUACAAUUUUACUUCUUAGAACUUAUGUCUCAAUACAAACUGCUCUCUAAUUAUUAUCCAGUUUCAAUUUGCACUGUAAAGUAAGAUUACAGUGUAAGACACACACACACACACGCAUAUACAGCUAAUAUUACUUCAGACGUAUUUUCUGAUUUUCAGACCGCGAUAUCAAGUAGUCAGCAGCUUCAAUUAUUCGAGGAAUAUAAGGAGAAACUAAAAUCAUUGGUUGGAGAAGAGGAUAUGACACAAGUUGUCGCAGAAGCCGUCUACUUUACCUCAAUGGGGGGAAAUGACCUUGCAAACAAUUACUUCUUAAUUCCUUUUAAACAGCAUCAGUAUGACCUUGGUUCUUAUGUGGACUUCCUUGUAUCUUUAGCAGUCAACUUCACAUUGGUAAGAAGUAUGGUCCCAUGAAAUGCAUGAUUUUUUAAGACAAUUUACAUAUAUUGAAUAUUUGAACGUUUCCAAGAUAAAUCACGCUUUGUGUACAUCUGAUUGGAAUUUCUUGGUUGUAGUUGCUGAUUUAGAUUUACAGUGAAUACUCCAUUAGUCCUAAAAUUUAAGAAGUUGUGGAGUUAGGCGUAGGAAAGUAGGUGGGUAGGUCACUGUAUUCCAAGACAGUGAAUGCUAAAAAAUGAUAUAUUUUGGGAUGGAUUGAGUAGUCCUUUUCCAUUCUAAAUUGUUUUAUGCAUCUGAGUUUGAAUAUGUAAUGUAACAUUAUACUUGUUUGCAUAUUAUACAGCAACUGAAUCAAAUGGGUGCUAAGAGGAUUGGAUUUUUUGGAAUUCCUCCAGUUGGUUGUAGCCCUUCACAAAUAAUCCUCGGAGGACAUCCUUCAGAAAAAUGUGAUCCAGAACGAAACCAUGCGUCAGAGCUAUUUAAUUCUAAAAUGAAAAUGGAGAUAGCUCGACUAAAUGCAGAACUGAACAUUUAUGGGCUCAAAUUGGCUUAUAUGGAUUUCUACCGCUAUCUGCUAGAACUUGCCCAAAAACCAGCUCUUUAUGGUACGUUAAAUUACAUAUUAAAAUAAGAGAGAGAUUAACUGUUUCGCACAAAAACAAAUAAUUACAUACAUAAUUAUUAUGGAGUGUUAAAAUAUUACAUGUUGAGCAACCGGAAAAGUAUGUGGUGAAUGGAUAUGAUAUAAAUUUCCGAAUGAUAAUUGAUGAUCUGCAUGAGCGUGUCGCAUUCAACUACUAAUUAUUAAUUCUGGGAGGUGGUCUGUACGAACAUUUUUAUACUGACGCCGAUCUGAAAUUUUCCAUUAUACAGGUUUCAAGGUUGCAGCUGUGGGAUGCUGUGGUAGUACCUUGCUCGAUGCUAGCAUAUUUAUUGCAUAUCACACUGCAUGCCCAAAUGUCCUUGAUUAUAUUUACUGGGAUGGCUUCCAUCCCACUGAAAAGGCCUAUAGCAUUGUGGUUGAUAAUAUGAUGAGGGUAAUUAAAGAGCAUUUGAUGUGAAGGGGAUAAUACUAUCAUAUAUUGUUAGUGAUAUGUCCUAGAGGCAAUCAUAGAGAUGAUUGUAUCACAUACUAUGUUUUCAUAUUUAUCCGACAUUCACUGGUGGAGAAACCAUCUUUCGUCGGUCGGCCGAAUUCCACAAUAGUCCCGGAUGCAAUAAAAACCGGGGCUAAAGAUGAUCUUUAGUCCCCGGUUAAAAAGAGUUACGGGCAUAUUUGAUCUUUAGUCCCGGUUGGUGAUCUUUAGUCCCGGUUCAAAUGCUGUCAGGGCUUGUCAGCCCCCCCGGAUCUUUAGUCCUGGCUAGUAACACCAACCGGGACUAAAGAUCGUAACUUUAGUCUCGGUUGGUGUUACUAACCGGGGCUAAAGUCCGGUUAGUAACACCAACCGGGACUAAAGUCCCACCUCUCUAUAUAUAUGUCUUCUUCCUCCUCCAGCUGCCCGAGCAAGCUUCAAAAUUUCUUCAAAAAAGAGGGGAGGUCAUGCCAAAAUUUCUAGUGAAUUUAUUUUGGUGAUUACAUACAAAUCGGAGGUGCCUAAAAGGUUUGCAAAUUCAUCCUCCAAUGUUUUUUUUUGUCAUAUUACAUUUGGAGCUAUGUUUUGCACACUUUUUUGUCUCCAAAAUUUAGUUGUAAGUUGAUGAGAGAGAAAAUUUGUGUGGGGAAGAAAGAAUAUAUAGAAAUUUAGUUUAUUUGCUAAAGAAGGUUUUAUAAAAUAGUUGAGAAGGAAAAUAUAGUGAAAGUUAAUCUUAAAUAAUAGAAACAAACUAAAAUGAAAAUUAAAAGAAGUAAAACACAUUAAAAUUAGUUUAAAACUUUAGAAAUAGUAAAUAAGUAAAACACGUUGCGGAUGAUCUUGGUUAGAUGUUGCAGGACACCAAGAAGGACUGCGAAAGUGAAAAGGAGCCCCAUAAAUUGAACAAGAUGUUAGAGGACCACAGAACAUUGUUGUACCCAGGUUGCGAGCAGGGGCAUAAAAAGUUGGAUACCACUCUGGAGUUCUUGCAAUGGAAGGCAAAAAAUGGGGUUAGUGACAAGGCAUUUGGCGAUUUAUUGAAACUCGUCAAGAACAUUCUUCUGGAGGGAAACAAAUUGCCCGAGACAACGUACGAGGCUAAGAAGAUAGUCUGCCCUCUAGGAUUGGAAGUUCAGAAGAUUCACGCAUGUCCGAAUGAUUGUAUCCUAUAUCACGGUGAGGAGUACGAGAACCUAGAAGCAUGCCCUGUUUGCAAUGCACUACGAUACAAGAUUAGACGAGACGAUCCAGGAGAAGUUGACGGGCAGCUAACAAGCAAGAGAAUUCCUGCUAAGGUGAUGUGGUAUUUCCCUAUAAUACCAUGGCUAAGGCGUUUGUUCAAGAACAAGGGGAAUGCUACAAUGAUGCGAUGGCACGCUGAAGAGCGUCAACAGGACGGGAUGCCGAGACACCCCGCCGAUGGUUCGCAGUGACGAAACAUCGACAGAAAAUUUAAAGACUUUGGAAAGGACGCACGAAACAUACAGUUUGGUUUGAGUACGGAUGGCAUGAAUCCUUUUGGAGAGAUGAGUAGCGGCCAUAGCACUUGGCCCGUUACGAUGUGUAUCUUCAACCUCCCCCCUGGCUAUGCAUGAAGAGGAAGUACAUAAUGAUGCCGAUUAUUAUUCAAGGCCCCAAGCAACCUGGUAAUGACAUCGAUGUGUACCUAAGACCACUGGUCGAAGAUCUUAAACUGUUGUGGAAGAAGGAAGGUGUCCCCGUGUGGGACGAGGACAAACAGGAGGAGUUUAACCUACGAGCGCUGUUGUUCAUAACCAUCAACGAUUGGCCUGCACUUAGCAACCUAUCCGGACAGUCCAACAAGGGGUACAAGGCUUGCACUCACUGUAUGGAUGAAAGAGAAAGUACGUAUCUUAAGCACUGUAGGAAGGUUGUAUACAUGGGUCAUCGUCGAUUCCUUGCAGCAAACCACCCGGUAUGGAAGAAAGGCAAGCACUUCGAACAUAAGGCUGACAAUCGUAGGAAGCCUAAACAUCGCAGCGGGAAAACAGUGUUUGCUAUGGUUAAAGAUCUUAAAGUAGUGUUCGGAAAGGGGCCUGGAAGCCAGCCUAUAGAGAGCAAAGAUGGUCACGCGGCGAUGUGGAAAAAGAACUCUAUAUUUUGGGAGUUACCCUAUUGGGAAUUCUUGGACGUCCGCCACGCAAUCGACGUGAUGCACCUCACUAAGAACCUUUGCGUAAACCUCCUUGGCUUCCUAGGUGUAUACGGAAAGUCAAAAGAUACAUUGGAAGCACGUAAUGAUCUAAAGCAUAUGGAACAACGCGGCGACCUUCACCCGGAACCAAAGGAGAAAUGAAGCCAUUACUUGAGUCCAGCCAGCUACACUCUUAGCAAGGCAGAGAAGGAAAGUAUGUUUGAAUGCUUGGAGAGCAUAAAGGUACCGUCUGGAUACUCCACGAAUAUCAAGCGAAUUAUAAGCACGAAGGAGAAGAAGUUCACAAACCUAAAGUCUCAUGACUGUCACGUGUUGAUGACACAACUGCUACCAGUUGUAAUAAGGGGUAUCCUUCCAGACAAUGUCCGGGCAACAAUAACAAAGCUAUGUGCAUUCAUGAACGCAAUUUCGCGGAAGGUCAUCGAUCCGGAUAGAUUAGAAGCCCUUCAGAAUGAUGUACUUCAAUGUCUCGUUAGUUUUGAGUUGAUAUUUCCACCUUCAUUUUUCAAUAUAAUGACGCAUCUGCUUUGUCACCUUGUGAAAGAGAUCAGUAUUCUCGGGCCUGUGUACCUACACAACAUGUUUCCUUUCGAGAGGUACAUGGGCGUUCUGAAGAAGUAUGUUCGUAACCGUGCUCGUCCAGAAGCAAGCAUCGCCAAGGGUUAUGGAACAGAGGAGAUCAUCGAAUUUUGCAUAGAAUUUAUUGAAGACCUUCGCCCAAUCGGGAUACCUGAAUCACGCCAUGAAGGGAGACUACGGGGAAAGGGAACUCUCGGAAGGAAAGCAAUAAUGACGGUAGACAACAAUUUAUUCCGUAAAGCCCAUUUCACGGUUCUGCAACAAUCUUCAUUGGUAGCUCCUUACAUCGAGGAGCACUUGGCUCUAGUUCGCGCCAAGAACAUCGGUAAGUCCGAUGCAUGGAUUACACGGCAUCACAUUGAUACUUUCCCCGCGUGGCUACGACAAUAUCUCAUGGGUAACGAGUCGAUCAACCAACAACUUGCCUUCCUGGCGAGGGGACCGUCUGGGUCGAUCGCGACAUUCUAGGGAUAUGAGAUCAAUGGGUACACAUUCUACACGAGAGCCCAAGACAUGAAGAGCACGAACCAAAACAACGCUGUUCGUGUCGAUGCCAUGGGACACGAUGUAACAACUGACACGUAUUACGGUGCCAUCGAGGACAUAUGGGAACUUGACUAUGGUCCUCUCAAGGUUCCUCUGUUCCGGUGCCAAUGGGUUAGGUUGACUGGUGGAGGCGUAAUGAUUGAUGACAGUGGGAUGACAACGGUUGACCUUAACAAGGUUGGAUACUCGGACGAACCUUUUGUCCUUGCCAAUGAUGUAACGCAAGUCUUUUACGUGAAGGACAUGUCUAGCAAAGGAAAGAAGGGCAGAGGGCCUGACGAGCCUAAGCGUCACGUGGUUCUCCCAGGCAAAAGAAAAAUUGUCGGAGUUGAGGACAAGACUGACGAGGAUUACGAUGAGUUGGAUGGGCAACCCCCUUUCACGGUGACGAUUGACCCUAGCAUCCUCCUAUCAAAUGAAGACACCCCUUACUCAUGUAGCGAUCACAAGGAGGGAACGAUAGUGAGGAGAAAGUACGUGCGGUCAACCGUCACCGCCGAUGUAUUGCCGUAAUUAUUGUGUACAUGAUGUAAACUAUUUUGGAUGUAUUGAUUAUCCAUAUAAAUCAAUUGUUGUAUGGCAUAUGUUAAUUACGCACGACUAUUAGAGGUUUUAACAAGUUUAAAUCAUGUAUAUGCUAGUUAUAUGCGAUAAUUACAAUUUUUAAAAGUUUUAAAUCACGCAGGUGGCAUUUUCAUAUGUUAAUUAGAGUUUUUAACAAUUAAUUUAAUAUCAUUCAUAUGCUAAUUAUAUAUGACUAUUCGAAUUUUUAAAAGGUUUAAAUCAUGCAUGUGGCAUUUACAUAUGUUAAUUAGAGUUUUUAACAAUUAAUUUACUAUCAUUCAUAUGCUAAUUAUAUAUGACUAUUUGAAUUUUUAAAAGUUUUAAAUCAUGCAUGUGGCAUUUACAUAUGUUGAUUAGAGUUUUUAACAAUUAAUUUAAUGUCAUUCAUAUGCUAAUUAUAUAUGACUAUUCGAAUUUUUAAAAUUUUUAAAUCAUGCAUGUGGCAUUUACAUAUGUUAAUUAGAGUUUUUAACAAUUAAUUUAAUAUUAUUCAUAUGCUAAUUCUAUAUGAUUAUCCAAAUUUUUAUUAAUUUUAAAUAAUGCCGUAUGUAUAUACAUAUGUUAAUUAGAGUUUUUAACAAUUUAAUAUCAUUAAUAUGCUAAGUAUAUAUGAUUAUUAGAAUUUUUAUUUAUUUUAAAUCAUAUAUUUGCUUAUUACGUUUUAUCAACUUAAUUUAUUACAGACAACAAUAAUUUUUCGAAGUAAUUGUCAUUAAUUUUUGUAUUUUAAAUAAUUUUAGUGCAUUAUUUUCUAUUUUAGAAACACAUAUGUAAUGGAAAUUUAUAUUCAGUGCGCUUAUCAGUAGUCCCGGUUCUUAUCCCUAACCGGGUUUAAAAAGAAUUUGGAAAUAGCGGGAAAAUAUCUUUAGUCCCGGUUGAUGAGAACAACUGGCUCCCGGUUGUUCUCAUCAAACGGGAAUAAAGAUCUAGGGGACCAACACUUAGAAGUUUUUGCCUGAUCAAUCUCUCUCGGCUUCUCCUUCGCCGCCACUGCCUAGGGCAUCCCCGCACCGACACCGCCGUCGUUUCUCGCCGUCGUCUCGCGCUCGUUGUCGUCGCCGCCUCCGCCUCCUCCUCCGCCGCCGCAUCUCUGGGGUGAGAGCCGCCGCCGCCUCCCUCUCAGCUCUCUCUCUCCGAUCUCGAUCUCUCUCUCUCCCUCUCGGUUGACGCCGGCCGCCUCGUUGCCGACGCCGACGCCGACGUCGUCACGACACGACACCGCGCCACGACACCGCGGCGGCAUGAAACGCCGAGACGCCACGACGCCGCCGCGGCACAUCACUGGCGCCGCGCCGCCACGCCGCCGCGCACCGCCGCCGCCGCGCCGUGUCGUAGGCUCUCCGGACCUUCCAUUAUAAUUGAGAGAUGAAGUGAAUAAUUCAAAUCAUCAAACAAGCAUAAUGAAAUAUCCGACGCCUCGAGAGAGGAAUAUUGGAGAUAUUGCUAGGCCUUUAGCCUGCCAGUCAACUUCAGCCUGAGAUGUGCCCGUCAAACCACUCGAAGGCGGCAACCAGAUGUGUUACACAUUCAGGAGACUUGACAAAAAUGGCUAAAGUUCUACAACAUCUCAAAUAUUCCUAACUCAUACUCAUGUGAAUCUAGUUCCCAGGAUGUGCACUAGAUUCACACUUUCAUCUCAAGCAUGAUUAGACAUAGCAAACACAAAUAAGAUGAAAGCGAUUGUAAACUACAUCUACUUUAGUUACAUUGGCCGACUGGCCAAAAAAAAAUAUAUAUAUAUAGAACAGCGGAAGCUUGUCUACCCAAUCCACAAGCACACCGACUAGGGGUUUACCCCAUUAAGUUCAAGUCCUAGAAGAAGCAGUCGAUCACCCGCAUCACUCAAAGGCUAAGUCUAAAUCCUGCAAGCAAAAGUUAAUUCAACAGCAAGAGUCAGUACAUUAUUAGAAAUAAUGUACUGGCUAGCACCAAGACAAGCCUAAGACCCUACUUGCAAGGCAUAUAAUCAAGGAAGGCAUAAUAUGGUUCUUUUUAGCAUAAAGCAAGUUUUAUUUGCAUAAAACACAUUCAAAACGGAUUUGCUUUCAAAUAAAAUUUCAGCAAGCUAGUACUUAGCAUAUGGGCAUCAAAGUAGGCAUUAAUCAUGUAUAAAUAUUCACCUCAUUGCCAUCCAUGGCAGCAAGGAGAUCAUUCUCAAAUCUCAUCACAAUUUGAAGGUAAAUUUCAGCAUUUAGGAGAAUAAACACAAGUCUAUACUCAAUACAUAUCCACACGCCGCUCAUGACCGCGAGCACGGCUAAUCGAUUAGUUUUAACUCUGCAGAGUUUGUACACUUUACCCACAUGAUGCGAAAUAAUAAUCAUGCAAGAGCAUGGCACGCGAUACAUAAGUACCCGAUUUAUUACCCACAACAAAGUUUUUCCAAAAUUCAUGAUUUAGCCUUACACCAGCACGAUACGUGUUCCUCCAUCCUAGUCAUACUAGAAAUAUGACCUAGAACCGUUAAGUGGCGGGCCCAUGCCUUGAACUUAACGCCGUGGUGGCGGACACAACGGGAACCCACCCACGUGGCACAAUACCGUUGUAUUGGACAGACUUAGUCACCUAAACUACCACGUCGGGGUAAAUAGGAAGUUCCUCUGAGUUAUCCGAACUCAUACACACCGGCCUACCAGAAUGUAAGGCUAAACCAUAAAUAAUUUACUAAGCUUGGGCUAUCCCAUACUAGCACAUGUGGUUGUACUGUAUACGAAAUGAACUGACAUUGAGUGAAGUCCUUAGGUCGGUUUGGGCGCACUCUCCCCCUAUCGGUAUACAACUAAUCACCAUAUGUACACCACUUGAGGCCCAAACCUAAAAUCCAUGUUUUCCACUAUUUUAUUUAUCAAAAUCACAAGUUUUAAAGUUCUGUCCAGAUUAAUUAAAAAUCAAUUUUCAUGUUUGAAAUGAGCCCAUAAUGACAAGGAAGACCAUUCUAAGCAUGGCUAAGCUUUAUAGUAACCUAGUGUCACCAAAACUCAUAUAUAAAGUGGUAUAGCCAUAUUGUUCCUAAGGUUAGGAAUGAGGAAUAUGGAUAUAUGUGGAGUUAAGGUGAUAAUGCAAAUAAUAGGAGUUUAUCUAACAAGUUUAACAAAAUUUUAAUUUAUUAGUGUACAAUCGACAUGCAAGAUUUGCAAACAUUUUCAAUAACCUCCAAAAGAUAGGUUCAAAGUGAUCAAAGAGAGGGAGAUGGGACUUGCCUUGAAUCAGGAAAAUGUCAGCACCUAAAUCACUUCUUCACCGAUUAAGCAAUCAUCUAUACAAAGUACACGUUAUGCAAUUAAACACCGAAAUAUGCGAAAAAUCCAAAAUGUUCUAAAAUGCGUGAUUUGUGCACAGAGAAUAGGUACUGGUAUAAAAUGAAUUUAGGUGAAAGAAUUUCUAUUUUAUCUCAUUUUAUUUGGGAGUUAUGAAUUUUAGAAGUUUCGUCGGUAUAGUGUAGGAUUUACUUAGUUACUAUUGUGAAAUGCUGUUGUAAGGUGAUUCUUAUUAAGUUUAUGUUUGCUGGGGUGAAUAUAUUUGUUUUCUAAGACUAACACAUUUGGUUUCAUAAUUUUUAGAGUUAAUAUGAAUUAUUUAUGUAUUUUACAAGUUUUAACGUGUUCUAGGCAUAUAUUCCCUAUGUGUAAAUGGCUUUGGAGAUUUAGGUCCAGAACUUGCUCUAACUUGCUAGUGUUGUAUAAAAUGUGUAUUUUAGUUAACUAAUCUAAUCUUAGUUUAUAAAAUUUAGUGUUCAAAUUACUUUACUUCACAUUUUAUAAGCUAGGGGAUGUUCUAUGUUAGAAACUUAACAUAUCAAUCUGGAGAUUAUUAUAUGAGUUAAGGAUACUAAGUUUUGGUGGAAGGGGAUGGAUCUAUGCCUUCACUGGUUCAACAAGUUUUAUUUGGAUUUAUUUGGAGCUACCAUGCAUAUAUAUACUUUUUCAUAUGUAUUGUUUAACCACUACUAUGUGUUUAGUUCCUAUUCUACCAAAUUAAGGUUCAGAGCCAUGGUCUGUAAAGAGGGUGCUAUAAUUCACUCUACUAAGUUGAAGUAUAUCACUUGCUGGUUCUAUAGAAAAUUUGGUUCACUUCAUUUUGACUAUAGAUGAAUUUUCUACAAAUGUUACAAUUUAAGGUAUGCUCCAUGUUGCUUAUUCCUUACUUAAAUACUUAGGGGUUUUCGUUAUACUGUAAGUAUGUCUUUUUAUUUUAUAACAUUGAAGUGCACAACCCUAUGAUUCUACUGAAUUUGGGUUUACUCAAAAAGGAUCUAAGAUGAAUUUUAUAUAAACUUCUAAAGUUCAGCUUAUGCAAAACUAGUCAUUUUAAAGGUAAUAGUUUUAGAGGCAUUCGAUGUAUAGUAUGUAUACUAUUUCAUUUUGCUUUAUAGGAGAACAUAAGUUGGUGGAUCUGUAGAAACUGAGUUUGCUCCAAAAUGAGUUGAAAUGAAUUUUGUAUGCAUUUUAUAAAUUUGUGCAUGCUUUAUGUGUGAUUUAACUUGGAUAAAUUUUAGAGGCUAAAUUUGUACUGUGAGUGCAAGUUUUUAUUCCAUAACACUAAAGUUCACAAUUUGGUGAGUUGACAGAAAUUUGUAUCAUCUUAAAAUGAGCUAUAUUUAAUUUUAUAUGGAUUUUACAAGUUUUAGGUACUUUCCUUUUAUAAUUUCAGAUUUUUGUUUCCAAGGGGUCCACUGUCAGUGAAAGAUCAAUAUACAAAAAGAUCCCUGAGGUUUCUAAGAAUCAACCCGCAGACCUAGCCUCAUAUGUCAGUGAGUUGAAAAGUUGCACAUUAAUCCUUAUAGUUGUUUAAAUUCUCGAAACAAGGUCCCUGACUUCUUUUCUCAUGCACAGAGGCAGAACAGCCAUGGCUGAGCUCGAUCUCGAGCUCACCGGCGACAAACGAUGGCUCGUUUGGGGGUGCAACCAAAAUACAAAAUGAAGAUCAUGUUAUUGCGAUUCCAUUCCUCUACUUUUCUCGGUCAGUGGACAUCGGAGUAACGCCGGCGGCGAGUCCGAAAGGAGGAUGUUUUCGGGUGGUGAUGCAUGUGCUUCUACAAUCAUGUAUUGGUUAAUUGGGUGCAUGCAUGUAUGUUCUAUAGGCUGAAGGGUGCUCACCGAGAUGCUAGACAUGGCUGGGGUAGCUAGGUUGAUGACGGCGGCUCGUGUAACGGCUCGGCGGCGGCAAGAACCUCCGGGUGAACGGCGAUGGCUCAAUCAGCUCCAAGAA
rnacentral:lncRNA from 1 species